rnacentral:misc_RNA from 1 species
GAGGGAUCAUUACCGAGUUAUACAACUCAUCAACCCUGUGAACAUACCUAUAACGUUGCCUCGGCGGGAACAGACGGCCCCGUAACACGGGCCGCCCCCGCCAGAGGACCCCCUAACUCUGUUUCUAUAAUGUUUCUUCUGAGUAAACAAGCAAAUAAAUUAAAACUUUCAACAACGGAUCUCUUGGCUCUGGCAUCGAUGAAGAACGCAGCGAAAUGCGAUAAGUAAUGUGAAUUGCAGAAUUCAGUGAAUCAUCGAAUCUUUGAACGCACAUUGCGCCCGCCAGUAUUCUGGCGGGCAUGCCUGUUCGAGCGUCAUUACAACCCUCAGGCCCCCGGGCCUGGCGUUGGGGAUCGGCGGAAGCCCCCUGCGGGCACAACGCCGUCCCCCAAAUACAGUGGCGGUCCCGCCGCAGCUUCCAUUGCGUAGUAGCUAACACCUCGCAACUGGAGAGCGGCGCGGCCACGCCGUAAAACACCCAACUUCUGAAUGUUGACCUCGAAUCAGGUAGGAAUACCCGCUGAACUUAAGCAU